rnacentral:rRNA from 1 species
GCAGUCGAACGGCAGCACGGACUUCGGUCUGGUGGCGAGUGGCGAACGGGUGAGUAAUAUAUCGGAACGUAUCCAAUAAUGGGGGAUAACUAAUCGAAAGGUUGGCUAAUACCGCAUACGCCCUACGGGGGAAAGCUAGGGACCUUCGGGCCUGGCGUUAAUGGAGCGGCUGAUAUCUGAUUAGCUAGUAGGUGAGGUAAAAGCUCACCUAGGCGACGAUCAGUAGCUGGUCUGAGAGGACGACCAGCCACACUGGAACUGAGACACGGUCCAGACUCCUACGGGAGGCAGCAGUGGGGAAUUUUGGACAAUGGGCGCAAGCCUGAUCCAGCCAUUCCGCGUGAGUGAAGAAGGCCUUCGGGUUGUAAAGCUCUUUCGCAAGGGAAGAAAACUUAGUCUCUAACAUAGGCUGAGGUUGACGGUACCUUGAUAAGAAGCACCGGCUAACUACGUGCCAGCAGCCGCGGUAAUACGUAGGGUGCGAGCGUUAAUCGGAAUUACUGGGCGUAAAGCGUGCGCAGGCGGUUUUGUAAGUCAGAUGUGAAAUCCCCGAGCUCAACUUGGGAACUGCGUUUGAAACUACAAGACUAGAAUAUGUCAGAGGGGGGUAGAAUUCCACGUGUAGCAGUGAAAUGCGUAGAGAUGUGGAGGAAUACCAAUGGCGAAGGCAGCCCCCUGGGAUAAUAUUGACGCUCAUGCACGAAAGCGUGGGGAGCAAACAGGAUUAGAUACCCUGGUAGUCCACGCCCUAAACGAUGUCUACUAGUUGUUGGUGGAGUAAAAUCCAUGAGUAACGCAGCUAACGCGUGA